ACGAACGCUGGCGGCGUGCCUAACACAUGCAAGUCGAACGGUUCAGGAGGCAAGAAACGAGAAGCGCGAGGCAAGAGAACAAGAGGGAUUGGUUUUUGGCCAAUUUCAGCUAAGGAGAUUUGCUUCAUGCGUCUGGUUUCUUGUCUCCUGGAUAGUGGCGGACGGGUGAGUAACGCGUGGGUAACCUGCCUAUCAGAAAGGGAUAACACCGGGAAGCUGGUGUUAAUACCAGAUACGCUUUAGAGGAGGCAUCUUCUUUAAAGGAAAGGACAACCGCUGAUAGAUGGGCCCGCGUCCCAUUAGCUAGUUGGUAGGGUAGAGGCCUACCAAGGCGACGAUGGGUAGCCG
rnacentral:rRNA from 1 species